AGGCCAAUAGCUCAACUGGUAGAGUUCCGGUCUCCAAAACCGGCGGUUGGGGGUUCGAGCCCCUCUUGGCCUG
rnacentral:tRNA from 1 species